CAACCUCAACUCAUAUGGGAUUACCCCCUGAAUUUAAGCAUAUUAAUGAGGGGAGGAAAAGAAACUAACAAGGAUUUUCUUAGUAGCGGCGAGCGAAAAGAAAAUAGUUCAGCACUAAGUCACUUUGUCUAUAUGUCAAAUGUGAGAUGCAGUGUAUGGAAUAUCUUAAUAUCUAGUAUGAGAAAUUAACGAUUUAAGUCCUUCUUAAAUGAGGCCAUUUACCCAUAGAGGGUGCCAGGCCCGUAUAACGUUAAUGAUUACUAGAAAGAUAUUUCCAAAGAGUCGUGUUGCUUGAUAGUGCAGCACUAAGUGGGUGGUAAACUCCAUCUAAAACUAAAUAUAACCAUGAGACCGAUAGUAAACAAGUACCGUGAGGGAAAGUUGAAAAGAACUCUGAAUAGAGAGUUAAAUAGUACGUGAAACUGCUUAGAGGUUAAGCCCGAUGAACCUGAAUAUCCAUUAUGAAAAAUUCAUCAUUAAAUAAUUAAAAAAAUAAUGUGCAUUUUUUUCAUAUAAGGACAUUGUAAUCUAUUAACAUAAUAAAGUAUUUAUCAAAAGAUCAUUGGUGAUAUUAAGUUUAUUUAAAUUAAUUUGCUUUUUAAGCAUAUUAACAUAAAAUAAAUACUAAUGAUUUGAUAAAGUGUUGAUAGAUUUUAUUAUAUAUAAUGCUAAAAUUCAUUUUUUGAAUUUUACAAAAAAUUUAAUAUCUAUGAUAUUAAUAUUUAUUUGUAUGCAUUUAUAUGAUUAACAAUGCGAAAGAUUCAGGAUACCUUCGGGACCCGUCUUGAAACACGGACCAAGGAGUCUAACAUAUGUGCAAGUCAUUGAGUUAUAUUAAACUUAAUGGCAUAAUUAACUUAACUUAAAUAUAAUGGGAUUAAUUUUUAGUCUAUUUUUUAAUAAAUAGUCAAUUAAUUCAAUCCCGGGGCGUUCCAUAUAGUUAUGUAUAAUGAUAAUUUAUUAUUAUUUAUACCUCUAACUGGAGCGUACCUUGAGCAUAUAUGCUGUGACCCGAAAGAUGGUGAACUAUACUUGAUCAGGUUGAAGUCAGGGGAAACCCUGAUGGAAGACCGAAACAGUUCUGACGUGCAAAUCGAUUGUCAGAAUUGAGUAUAGGGGCGAAAGACCAAUCGAACCAUCUAGUAGCUGGUUCCCUCCGAAGUUUCCCUCAGGAUAGCUGGUGCAUUUAAAAAUUAUAUAAAAUAAUCUUAUCUGGUAAAGCGAAUGAUUAGAGGCCUUAGGGUCGAAACGAUUUUAACCUAUUCUCAAACUUUAAAUGGGUAAGAACCUCACCUUUCUUGAUAUGAAGGUUGAGGUUAUGAUAUAAUGUGCCCAGUGGGCCACUUUUGGUAAGCAGAACUGGCGCUGUGGGAUGAACCAAACGUAAUGUUACGGUGCCUAAAUUAACAACUCAUGCAGAUACCAUGAAAGGCGUUGGUUGCUUAAAACAGCAGGACGGUGGACAUGGAAGUCGUAAUCCGCUAAGGAGUGUGUAACAACUCACCUGCCGAAGCAACUAGCCCUUAAAAUGGAUGGCGCUUAAGUUGUAUACCUAUACAUUACCGCUAAAGUAGAUGAUUUAUAAAACAAUUUCGAUUGAUUUAUAAAUUUUGAAACUUUAGUGAGUAGGAGGGUACAAUAGUGUGCUUAGAAGUGUUUGGCGUAAGCCUGCAUGGAGCCGCUAUUGGUACAGAUCUUGGUGGUAGUAGCAAAUAAUCGAAUGAGACCUUGGAGGACUGAAGUGGAGAAGGGUUUCGUGUGAACAGUGGUUGAUCACGAGUUAGUCGGUCCUAAGUUCAAGGCGAAAGCCGAAAAUUUUCAAGUUUUUAAUAAAAAAAAAAUAUUAAUAAAAAUAUAUUUAAAAAUAAUUAAAAUACUUGAAUUAUUUUGAACGAAAGGGAAUACGGUUCCAAUUCCGUAACCUGUUGAGUAUCCGUUUGUUAUUAAAAAUGGGCCUUGUGCUCAUCCUGGCAACAGGAACGACCAUAAAGAAGCCGUCGAGAGAUAUCGGAAGAGUUUUCUUUUCUGUUUUAUAGUCGUACUACCAUGGAAGUCUUUCGAAGAGAGAUAUGGUAGAUGGACUAGAAGAGCAUGACAUUUACUGUUGUGUCGAUAUUUUCUCCUCGGACCUUGAAAAUUUAUGGUGGGGUCACGCAAACUUCUCAACAGGCCGUACCAAUAUCCGCAGCUGGUCUCCAAGGUGAAGAGUCUCUAGUCGAUAGAAUAAUGUAGGUAAGGGAAGUCGGCAAAUUAGAUCCGUAACUUCGGGAUAAGGAUUGGCUCUGAAGAUUGAGAUAGUCGGGCUUGAUUGGGAAGCAAUACCAUGGUUUAUGUACUCGUUCUGGGUAAAUAGAGAAUUACGAUUCUUGUUCCCCGGAUAGUAGUUACGUAGCCAAUUGUGGAACUUUCUUGCUAAAAUUUUUAAGGAAUUAUAUCAUUCGAUAUAUAUUCCUUUUAAAUUAUAACGAUUAUCAAUUAACAAUCAAUUCAGAACUGGCAC